GCACACGCGGACGGUUCCUGUUCCGCCUCGAAGCGAUCCGGGGCUCCAACUCUAGCGACCAGUUCCUCGGUCUCUGUGGCGGUGGUGGCAGAGCCCGCGCAACGAGAGGGUGGUGGUGUGCGUGUCCUCCCAUGCUUGCAACCUUCCACCCCCUGUUCGAAUGAUGUGAUCUCAAGUAGAGAUUGGAAAUGCCUCUUGUGGCCCAGGAAGCUGAUACUUUUUGGAAGCUGAUACAAUGAACAGAGAGAUUGAGUUGCUCAUAACCAUACAGGAGUCCUGAGGAAACAACCUAUGCGUUCUCCUCCGGUUACACAAAACUCAUCUGGGAGGCAUCACAAUUUUUGAAGUUGCCAUGACACCAACUCAGAUGACGCCAGAAUUUUGAGUUCCGUAAGUUUGCCAAGAGUCAUUAUAGUUUGUUUAACUCUAGUUUGUUUAACUCAUGCAAGUAGAGACUCUGUUUCUAUAAUUCGAAUCUGAUCGAAUGAGCAGUGUUUAUCUGGUGAUUCGUACAAUCCAAUCCGAGGAUAGUACGGAUCGUGACCUUUUGUCUUGACCAUCGUAGCAUUAUGAGAUCAUCAAUUUUGUAUCUUAGAUUUACUUCA